AAAUUGAAGAGUUUGAUCAUGGCUCAGAUUGAACGCUGGCGGCAGGCCUAACACAUGCAAGUCGAACGGUAACAGGAAGCAGCUUGCUGCUUUGCUGACGAGUGGCGGACGGGUGAGUAAUGUCUGGGAAACUGCCUGAUGGAGGGGGAUAACUACUGGAAACGGUGGCUAAUACCGCAUAACGUCGCAAGACCAAAGAGGGGGACCUUCGGGCCUCUUGCCAUCAGAUGUGCCCAGAUGGGAUUAGCUAGUUGGUGAGGUAACGGCUCACCAAGGCGACGAUCCCUAGCUGGUCUGAGAGGAUGACCAGCCACACUGGAACUGAGACACGGUCCAGACUCCUACGGGAGGCAGCAGUGGGGAAUAUUGCACAAUGGGCGCAAGCCUGAUGCAGCCAUGCCGCGUGUAUGAAGAAGGCCUUCGGGUUGUAAAGUACUUUCAGCGGGGAGGAAGGUGUUGUGGUUAAUAACCGCAGCAAUUGACGUUACCCGCAGAAGAAGCACCGGCUAACUCCGUGCCAGCAGCCGCGGUAAUACGGAGGGUGCAAGCGUUAAUCGGAAUUACUGGGCGUAAAGCGCACGCAGGCGGUCUGUCAAGUCGGAUGUGAAAUCCCCGGGCUCAACCUGGGAACUGCAUUCGAAACUGGCAGGCUUGAGUCUUGUAGAGGGGGGUAGAAUUCCAGGUGUAGCGGUGAAAUGCGUAGAGAUCUGGAGGAAUACCGGUGGCGAAGGCGGCCCCCUGGACAAAGACUGACGCUCAGGUGCGAAAGCGUGGGGAGCAAACAGGAUUAGAUACCCUGGUAGUCCACGCCGUAAACGAUGUCUACUUGGAGGUUGUGCCCUUGAGGCGUGGCUUCCGGAGCUAACGCGUUAAGUAGACCGCCUGGGGAGUACGGCCGCAAGGUUAAAACUCAAAUGAAUUGACGGGGGCCCGCACAAGCGGUGGAGCAUGUGGUUUAAUUCGAUGCAACGCGAAGAACCUUACCUGGUCUUGACAUCCACGGAAGUUUUCAGAGAUGAGAAUGUGCCUUCGGGAACCGUGAGACAGGUGCUGCAUGGCUGUCGUCAGCUCGUGUUGUGAAAUGUUGGGUUAAGUCCCGCAACGAGCGCAACCCUUAUCCUUUGUUGCCAGCGAUUAGGUCGGGAACUCAAAGGAGACUGCCAGUGAUAAACUGGAGGAAGGUGGGGAUGACGUCAAGUCAUCAUGGCCCUUACGACCAGGGCUACACACGUGCUACAAUGGCGCAUACAAAGAGAAGCGACCUCGCGAGAGCAAGCGGACCUCAUAAAGUGCGUCGUAGUCCGGAUUGGAGUCUGCAACUCGACUCCAUGAAGUCGGAAUCGCUAGUAAUCGUGGAUCAGAAUGCCACGGUGAAUACGUUCCCGGGCCUUGUACACACCGCCCGUCACACCAUGGGAGUGGGUUGCAAAAGAAGUAGGUAGCUUAACCUUCGGGAGGGCGCUUACCACUUUGUGAUUCAUGACUGGGGUGAAGUCGUAACAAGGUAACCGUAGGGGAACCUGCGGUUGGAUCACCUCCUUACCUUAAAGAAGC
rnacentral:rRNA from 24 species